rnacentral:rRNA from 1 species
UCUGGUGGCGAUAGCGAAGAGGUCACACCCGUUCCCAUACCGAACACGGAAGUUAAGCUCUUUAGCGCCAAUGGUA